CGCAGCCGGAACUAGCAUAUGCUAACGUGCACAUAGUCCAUCGCGAUGCAUGAGGAAAUGAAAACAAGAGAACAAAAGGAGCGCCACGUUUGGCUGUUUGCAGAUGAGAUGUUAUACUGCAAAUAAUUAGUCAAGUAUUUUUUCCUGACUUUCCUGCCUCUUUGGAACAAAUCCAUUCACAUUUACUUUGGAGAGCACCGGGACAUUGACAUAAACAGGACUUUCCAACUACUUCAAAACAUUUUAUUUUAUUUUUAUUUUUUAGACAAAAUUAUAUUCACUGUAAUGCUGAAGUAAGCUUGUCCUCUUUAAUG